UCCCAGCUGCACUGCAUUGGCGACCUUCACUUGUUCGUUUUUAUGAGCGUGUCGGCCAAUCAGCUAGUCUUCUGCAACCCUUUGCAGAGUGAACACGUGUGUUGUGAAAGUGCACGUAGCAACUGGACGCUUUCAUCGAGAAAAGUUCUGACAUGCAUAAAUAUGGUUUAUCGAAUGUGGAGGAAAUGUUGAAGUACGUUUGGAACUCCGUGGGAUGUCACCUUAACACUAAGAUGGUGAAAAACAUAUACCCUGAUUUGGUAGAAAGCACACACGUGGGUCCUUGCCCAUCUGUUCCGCAUAUUGAUCGUGAUAAAAACAGGGACCCAGAACAGAUAUUGACGUACAGCUGUGGGGAGUGUCACGAGAAACAUUGCUCUAAACAUGGAAACUUCAGAUGUCAAGAAAUUAGAGUAAAAAUCGAUGUAAAAAUGAAGAAGGGAAAACAUAAUUAUGUAGUGGCUAAAUUAUUCCCCGCGGGGUGUAUAUGUAUGUCACAUGUGUCGAUACUAGGAAAACAUGUUCAAAAACCUCGUGUAUACGUUAAGUGACACUGAAGUCUCAUCUAUGAAUGUUAAUUUUAAGCUGAUUGCUGUGAUAUGAAUUAAGUUAUUUAUAUUUUUUGAAAACUUAUUAAUAGACCUGCUAAACUUUAGUUCUACUGAGUAAUGCAGACUGUUAAUUUUAUGGUUUAGUCUAAGGAAUCCUAUGUCCUGUGUAUUGUAUGUAAUAAUUAGUGAUAAUAAUAUAACAGUUUCAAGAAGACGGAAUAUACCUUAAGCCUGUAUAUUGAAGGUGAAUUAUACAAUUACAACGAA